AAAAAAACCUAUUCACGAGCUGAGUUAGAUGAAGUGAGAUCUCAAUGGGUCUCAUUUUUUAGCACUCUUAUCUUAGACCAAGUAUAGUGGGUAUGUUAAUUUAUAAUUUUUUAAUAAAAUUUCAGACAUAAAUUUCAAUUAAUGUUGCAUCUUUUCUCUUUGCAAGGUUUCAGGUGACAUUUGCAGUUGUUGCAAUUUUGAGGUGACAAGAUCAUAUGUAAGAUCUUAUUGUCAUGCAUAGAUGCUGAAGUUUUGGAUACUUUUGGGUUCAUAGAAAUGUUAUCCAACAUAAAGGAAAGUGCCACUCUUCCUCUCCAUUGAAAUGGUGUUCACCAUGGAAGGAAAGCUCCUCUCAUCAAUUAGUUUUUGGUUUGCCAAUGCCAUAACAAGUUAAGAAGAUUUGGUGGCAUUUGCAGCAAUUACAGCACUUUUGAAGGCACAAGAUCAUGGCUACAUUAUAUUUAUCAUGUAUAACUAUUGGAUUUUUGGGUACAUAUUUGCCUUUUUUUGGAUGUAUGUGAGAUAAUAUAAGAUUA